AGCAGCCGCGGUAAUUCCAGCUCCAAUAGCGUAUAUUAAAGUUGUUGCAGUUAAAAAGCUCGUAGUUGAAUUUCGGGGUUAGUAGGUUGGCCAUGCCUCUGGUAUGUACUGGUCUCACUGAUUCCUCCUUCCUGAUGAACCUUAAUGCCAUUAAUUUGGUGUUUUGGGGAAUUUGGACUGUUACUUUGAAAAAAUUAGAGUGUUUAAAGCAAGCUAACGCUUGAAUACAUUAGCAUGGAAUAAUGAAAUAGGACGUUCGAUCCUAUUUUGUUGGUUUCUAGGAUUGACGUAAUGAUUAAUAGGGAUAGUUGGGGGCAUUAGUAUUCAAUUGUCAGAGGUGAAAUUCUUGGAUUUAUUGAAGACUAACUACUGCGAAAGCAUUUGCCAAGGAUGUUUUCAUUAAUCAAGAACGAAAGUUAGGGGAUCGAAGACGAUCAGAUACCGUCGUAGUCUUAACCAUAAACUAUGCCGACUAGGGAUCGGAUGAUGUUAAUUUUUUAAUGACUCAUUCGGCGCCUUACG
rnacentral:rRNA from 1 species